GAUGAACGCUGGCGGCGUGCCUAAUACAUGCAAGUAGAACGCUGAAGGAGGAGCUUGCUCUUCUGGAUGAGUUGCGAACGGGUGAGUAACGCGUAGGUAACCUGCCUGGUAGCGGGGGAUAACUAUUGGAAACGAUAGCUAAUACCGCAUGACAACAGUUAUUGCAUGAUAACUGUUUAAAAGGGGCAACUGCUCCACUACCAGAUGGACCUGCGUUGUAUUAGCUAGUUGGUGAGGUAACGGCUCACCAAGGCGACGAUACAUAGCCGACCUGAGAGGGUGAUCGGCCACACUGGGACUGAGACACGGCACAGACUCCUACGGGAGGCAGCAGUAGGGAAUCUUCGGCAAUGGACGGAAGACUGACCGAGCAACGCCGCGUGAGUGAAGAAGGUUUUCGGAUCGUAAAGCUCUGUUGUAAGAGAAGAACGAGUGUGAGAGUGGAAAGUUCACACUGUGACGGUAUCUAAACAGAAAGGGACGGCUAACUACGUG
rnacentral:rRNA from 1 species